GCUGGGAGUGGUGGCGCAUGCCUGUAGUCCCAGCUACUCGGGAGGCUGAGGUGGGAGGAUCGCUCGAGCCCAGGAUAUCUAGGCUGUAGUGCUCUAUGCUGAUCGGGUGUCCGCACUAAGUUUGGCAUCAAUAGCGGGGGACCACCAGGUUGCCUAAGGAGGGGUGAACCGGCCCAGGUCGGAAGCAGAGCAGAUCGAAACUCCCAUGCUGAUCAGUGGUGGGAUCGCACCUGUGAAUAACCACUGCACUCCAGCCUGGGCAACAGAGCAAGACUGUCUCAA
ensembl:misc_RNA Metazoa_SRP Metazoan signal recognition particle RNA